rnacentral:rRNA from 1 species
UGGGGAAUAUUGCACAAUGGGCGCAAGCCUGAUGCAGCCAUGCCGCGUGUGUGAAGAAGGCCUUCGGGUUGUAAAGCACUUUCAGCGGGGAGGAAGGCGUUAAGGUUAAUAACCUUGGCGAUUGACGUUACCCGCAGAAGAAGCACCGGCUAACUCCGUGCCAGCAGCCGCGGUAAUACGGAGGGUGCAAGCGUUAAUCGGAAUUACUGGGCGUAAAGCGCACGCAGGCGGUCUGUCAAGUCGGAUGUGAAAUCCCCGGGCUCAACCUGGGAACUGCAUUCGAAACUGGCAGGCUAGAGUCUUGUAGAAGGGGGAAGAAUUCCAGGUGUCGCGGUGAAAUGCGUAGAGAUCUGUAUGAAUACCGGUGGCGAAUGCGGCCCCCUGGACAAAGACUGACGCUCAGGUACGAAAGCGUGGGGAGCAAACAGG